rnacentral:rRNA from 1 species
UACGGAGGGUGCGAGCGUUAUCCGGAAUCACUGGGUUUAAAGGGUGCGUAGGCGGCCAAGUAAGUCAGGGGUGAAAUACUGCGGCUCAACCGUAGAAUGGCCUUUGAUACUGCGUGGCUUGAAUGGAGUUGAGGUCGGCGGAAUGUGGCAUGUAGCGGUGAAAUGCAUAGAUAUGCCAUAGAACACCAAUUGCGAAGGCAGCCGGCUAGACUUGCAUUGACGCUGAGGCACGAAAGCGUGGGGAGCGAACAGG